CUUCGAUGUGGCAAAACCGGACAGGAGGCAGAACAAGAUUAGGGAUCCACUCUCCUGAGUGUAAAUGGCAGAAAUCACGAGAGGGACUUACAAGCAAUCCAGAACCAAAGAUUCUGAUUCUAAUUCUGAUUCUGAGUGCCAAACCAAGGGAAGGUCCAGAAUUCCAUUUGACUCCGGUAUCUUAAAUUCAGGCAUUGCUGAAACUGCUAAACUGCAACCAAUUUAUAUGAAACUUAUUGGAAGAGCUAUAAUAUAUAACUCCACAUCACACUACUGAGAAAGCUGCCAUACAAAAUACUCAGAAGCUGUCCCUGCUGUUAUGAUGAUGUGAUCUAAAGAAACAUUGCUGUCACAAUAUUGAGUCAAAAAGACUUUCAAGGACUAUUGAGCAAGGACUAUGAACAUUAUCACGAUCUCAUCUUCAGAAAAUGCUUCUCCUUUAUUAACUUUCUUUUGUGGUUAGGGAUACGAAAAUAGGGAACAUUGGUUCUGCCCGAGCAUAGGGAUGUUGAAUGGACUAGCCCAUGCCUGGAGUGCCCUUAUGGUACACCAGUCGUGAAAGUAGGUGUCCCUAUAGAAUCAAUAACCAGGUAAAGGAAGGGUAAAUUAAAGGUAAAAAUUAGAAACAAAGAGGGGAAGUUGAUAAAGAUGGAAGCCAUAUUUGUUCAUAAGACUCCAUUUAUAAUUGACAUCUGACAAGCUGUUUCAAAUUGUUUUCAGCUUAGAGCUGACACAGGAAAAAGUACAGACACUGCACUUUGUUUGAACCCAUAUUGUGAAGUUAUGACCUUUAUCUAAGAUAUAUUUUACGGUAAUUUCCUAGCAGAAAUAUAAUGUCAGCAGCUAGACAUGUGAGCUUCAAAGGGUAUUUGUCAGUUUGCGGUAUAGCAGGUGUAAAAACAUAACCAGACAUAUGUAGGUUUCGAGGUUAGCAAAAACCCACAGAUAUUCCACUUAAGAGCACAUAUAAAAAAUAUAGACGUUGGCAAACAUAUUAUGUAUAAGAUAGAAGUUUUAUUAGCCAAUAGGAUCAAGCUUCGUGUCAGGAAUCGACGACACGAUAUGUUAAUUUGUAUCACUUUAUA